rnacentral:rRNA from 1 species
GCCCUACGGGGCGCAGCAGGCGCGAAAACUUUACAAUGCGGGAAACCGUGAUAAGGGGACACCGAGUGCCAGCAUCAUAUGCUGGCUGUCCAGAUGUGUAAAAUACAUCUGUUAGCAAGGGCCGGGCAAGACCGGUGCCAGCCGCCGCGGUAACACCGGCGGCCCGAGUGGUGAUCGUGAUUAUUGGGUCUAAAGGGUCCGUAGCCGGUUUGGUCAGUCCUCCGGGAAAUCUGAUGGCUCAACCAUUAGGCUUUCGGGGGAUACUGCCAGGCUUGGAACCGGGAGAGGUAAGAGGUACUACAGGGGUAGGAGUGAAAUCUUGUAAUCCCUGUGAGACCACCUGUGGCGAAGGCGUCUUACCAGAACGGGUUCGACGGUGAGGGACGAAAGCUGGGGGCACGAACCGGAUUAGAUACCCGGGUAGUCCCAGCCGUAAACGAUGCUCGCUAGGUGUCAGGCAUGGCGCGACCGUGUCUGGUGCCGCAGGGAAGCCGUGAAGCGAGCCACCUGGGAAGUACGGCCGCAAGGCUGAAACUUAAAGGAAUUGGCGGGGGAGCACAACAACGGGUGGAGCCUGCGGUUUAAUUGGACUCAACGCCGGACAACUCACCGGGGACGACAGCAAUAUGUAGGCC